rnacentral:rRNA from 1 species
UACGAAGGGGGCUAGCGUUGUUCGGAAUUACUGGGCGUAAAGCGUACGUAGGCGGAUUGUUAAGUGAGGGGUGAAAUCCCGAGGCUCAACCUCGGAACUGCCUUUCAUACUGGCAAUCUUGAGUCCGGGAGAGGUGAGUGGAACUCCUAGUGUAGAGGUGAAAUUCGUAGAUAUUCGCAAGAACACCAGUGGCGAAGGCGGCUCACUGGCCCGAUACUGACGCUGAGGUGCGAAAGCGUGGGGAGCAAACAGG